rnacentral:tRNA from 1 species
ACUAAAUUGGCAGAUUAAUUGUGUCAAAUUUAGAAUUUGAGUAUGCUUCUUUAGCAUUUAGUA